rnacentral:rRNA from 1 species
UACGUAGGGUGCAAGCGUUGUCCGGAAUUAUUGGGCGUAAAGAGCUUGUAGGCGGUUUGUCGCGUCUGCUGUGAAAUUUCGGGGCUCAACCCCGAACUUGCAGUGGGUACGGGCAGACUAGAGUGUGGUAGGGGAGACUGGAAUUCCUGGUGUAGCGGUGAAAUGCGCAGAUAUCAGGAGGAACACCGAUGGCGAAGGCAGGUCUCUGGGCCAGCUACUGACGCUGAGAAGCGAAAGCAUGGGGAGCGAACAGG